rnacentral:tRNA from 1 species
GCCUGGAUGGCUCAGUUGGUUGAGCAUCCAACUUCAGCUUGGGUCAUGAUCUCGUGGUUUAUGAGUUCAAGCCCCGUGUCGGGCU